GAGAGAGCUUGCUCUCUUGGCGGCGAGUGGCGGACGGGUGAGUAAUAUAUCGGAACGUGCCCAGUAGCGGGGGAUAACUACUCGAAAGAGUGGCUAAUACCGCAUACGCCCUACGGGGGAAAGGGGGGGAUCGCAAGACCUCUCACUAUUGGAGCGGCCGAUAUCGGAUUAGCUAGUUGGUGGGGUAAAGGCUCACCAAGGCAACGAUCCGUAGCUGGUUUGAGAGGACGACCAGCCACACUGGGACUGAGACACGGCCCAGACUCCUACGGGAGGCAGCAGUGGGGAAUUUUGGACAAUGGGGGAAACCCUGAUCCAGCCAUCCCGCGUGUAUGAUGAAGGCCUUCGGGUUGUAAAGUACUUUUGGCAGAGAAGAAAAGGUAUCUCCUAAUACGAGAUACUGCUGACGGUAUCUGCAGAAUAAGCACCGGCUAACUACGUGCCAGCAGCCGCGGUAAUACGUAGGGUGCAAGCGUUAAUCGGAAUUACUGGGCGUAAAGCGUGUGUAGGCGGUUCGGAAAGAAAGAUGUGAAAUCCCAGGGCUCAACCUUGGAACUGCAUUUUUAACUGCCGAGCUAGAGUAUGUCAGAGGGGGGUAGAAUUCCACGUGUAGCAGUGAA
rnacentral:rRNA from 1 species